UGGAAAAAUUGCUCACAACAUUAUUUUCCCGAUUUGGACAUUCAUUCGCAUUCCAAAGCUAAUAAACAUGUGGAAAUCUCCUUGGUCAUGUGACCUACGGACUACAAACAAGGUUCAGAAUGUCCCCUCCAAGACAAUGAGGCUGCAGGCCAGGUCACAGCUCUGUGGCGAAGAAACAAUUGCGAGGUAGUGGUUGCUGAUGUGAGGUCUACAGACAAAAAUUCCUCUUUCCUUCUCCAUCAUUCAGAGUUUAAAACUCUGCAGCCCCACAAAUGGCUUGUGGAUGAGGUAGUCAUAACAUGACAAUAAGCAUUUUUUUCAAUCACAAUUCUAAACAUAUCGUGGAGAGAAAAAAAAUCAUACAAUAUGAAGGAUGAACAUAGAAGUACAUUAGAUGUGCACCUAACCAUGUCUAAUGACAUGUAAUAUCAUUAUGUAGUUAAGUGGAAUUGGAGUUGAAUGUUUCUGAUGAUGUACACUUGAGUAUUUAUGGCCCUUAUUCUGUCACUUUAAAGUAAAUA